rnacentral:tRNA from 1 species
AGUAGAGUCAGCUAAUCAAGCUCUCGGGCCCAUACCCCGAACAUGUAGGUUAAAAUCCUUCCUGUACUU